AAAGGUAAGCUACUAAGAGCGAAUGGUGGAUGCCUUGACUGGUAAAGGCGAUGAAGGACGUACUAGACUGCGAUAAGCUACGGGGAGCUGUCAAGAAGCUUUGAUCCGUAGAUUUCCGAAUGGGGCAACCCAAUGUAUAGAGAUAUGCAUUACCUAUAUAGGAGCGAACGAGGGGAAUUGAAACAUCUUAGUACCCUCAGGAAAAGAAAUCAAUAGAGAUUGCGUCAGUAGCGGCGAGCGAAAGCGCAAGAGGGCAAACCCAGUGCUUGCACUGGGGGUUGUAGGACUGCAAUGUGCAAGAGCUGAGUUUAGCAGAACAUUCUGGAAAGUAUAGCCAUAGAGGGUGAUAGUCCCGUAUGCGAAAAACAAAGCUUAGCUAGCAGUAUCCUGAGUAGGGCGGGACACGAGGAAUCCUGUCUGAAUCCGGGUCGACCACGAUCCAACCCUAAAUACUAAUACCAGAUCGAUAGUGCACAAGUACCGUGAGGGAAAGGUGAAAAGAACUGAGGUGAUCAGAGUGAAAUAGAACCUGAAACCAUUUGCUUACAAUCAUUCAGAGCACUAUGUAGCAAUACAGUGUGAUGGACUGCCUUUUGCAUAAUGAGCCUGCGAGUUGUGGUGUCUGGCAAGGUUAAGCAAACGCGAAGCCGUAGCGAAAGCGAGUCUGAAUAGGGCGCUUAGUCAGAUGCUGCAGACCCGAAACGAAGUGAUCUAUCCAUGAGCAAGUUGAAGCUAGUGUAAGAACUAGUGGAGGACUGAACCCAUAGGCGUUGAAAAGCCCCGGGAUGACUUGUGGAUAGGGGUGAAAGGCCAAUCAAACUUCGUGAUAGCUGGUUCUCUCCGAAAUAUAUUUAGGUA
rnacentral:rRNA from 1 species